rnacentral:lncRNA from 1 species
GAGGUCAAGAGAUAAUCAUCUCAUCUCCUCAACUCCCCCCGAUGCCUGGUGUGCUCUCAACAGUUUUCGAUGAAAUAGAACACCCUAAAUCCAUGGGCGGUGUUCCCACCUAGGGUUGUGGGUCACCAUUUCUUCCCUAGACUCCACACCGUUGCCCCUUGUCAAGAUUGCACCUCAAGGUUUUGGUUCCUACUAGCUUCGAUCCCGAAGCUAUUGUUAUUUAUUUUCACUUUAAGACCAUUCAAAAUAUUCAAAACGGAUUACUUGGAUUAAAGGUUGCUUAAAGCCUGGUAAAGGUUCGGUUCUAGUUAAUGGGUCGCACACGGUGUAAUUUAAGUUCAAGAGAGGUCUUAGACAGACAGGGAGACCCCCUUUCUUUUGGGUUGAUCUACACCCAUCUUCUUACUAUUUUUACCCCUUGUGAGUAAAACUGCGGGUCUUAUCCGUAAAUUUGUGUGAGGAGGGGUACAUUUAGUAACACACUUACCACCAAGGGCGGACCCAAGCCCAACCCAAGGUGGGCGGGCGCACCCCCGGGGAAAAAAAUUUAGUGCUAAGUUCCGUUGAAAAUCCCGUCCGCACCCCUUGGAAAUUUUCGUCCGCACCCUUUGGAAUUUUUCGACCGCACCCUUUAAAAUUUUCGUCCGCACCCCUUAGGUAAAAAGUGUUAUCAAUUUAUAUUUUAAAUUUUUUAGUAAACUCUUAUUUGAAAAAAUACUACCUAAAUUAUAAAACUUUUAAUACCUAACUAACAAAACCCAUCCCUUUACCCACUUAUAAUUCCUAACUAGCUAGCCCACUAAGUCUUAGCCCAUUAACCAAACCCAACAAUAUUUCAAACUAUAACAAAAUAAUUAAAGCCCAAAACCUUUAGAAAUUCUCUCCCGCUCUCUCUCUCUUGCGUCCCUGCACUGCCAACGAACAACAUCACCCACCGACAACAGUCCAGCAGUUGGCGACCACCGUAAUCAGCCACCAUACCACCGUCGUUUGACACCAAAUCUAACCGGAAUCCGAACACGGGUAAGUUUCUUUGUUAUUUUGAUGAUUUUGGUUGAUAUUAUAGGAGAAAAAAGGAUGAUUUUUAGGGUGAUUAUGUUGUUUAUAUAUUUUCAGGGUGAUUAUGUUGUUUAUAUAUUUUUAGGGUGAUUACAACUUACGUUAUGAUUUUUAGGGCUUGAAUAGUUGAAAAUUAAAAUUAAAACUGAAACAUUAUGUUAUGGAGCGAUGAACUUAUAUUAUAUAGAGAAAGAAUUGCUUAAGAAAUUAGUUUUAGAUAAUAUUUUUGAUAGAUUUCAAAAAAUGAAAACCCGUAGGGCGUCGACGUUUUAAUUAUGUUUGUAACAAGGUUUGACAUGUUUUUGAUGAUUAUACAAAUUUAGUUUGAUGUUCGUUUGUUUUACAUGACCCGACUCGAACCGAUCCGAUACGAACCGAUUUUUUUACAUAUAUAUACCUAGGGGUCUAAAAUUUUUAAAAAUGUUCCGCACCCCAUGAAAAAAUUCAUGGGUCCGCCACUACUUACCACUUUCUUUGUAUAGUGUAUAUGAUAUUUUAUUAUAGCCGGUGUACGAUUUUUGAUUUCUUUAUACAGUGUGUACGAUUUGCAAUUAUAGCCGGUGUGUACGAUUUUCAAUUUCUGUAUAACAGUGUGUACGAAUCAAUUAUAGCCAAUGUGUACGAUUUUUAAUUUCUUAAUACAGUCAUAAAAGAAUAAUCUAAUUCAUUAUUAUUAAUUAUUAAAUUUAUAAAACUGAUAUAUUCAUAUAACUAAAUUAUUAGAAACAUUACCUCCGAUCUGUGGGUAAUAGCCAAAUCUUUUGACCAACAGAUGGUUAUAUUUCAAGCUAUAAAACACAUACAUUUACUUGAUCUUCUACUUCCAUUAGUAAAACUGAUAUAUUCACUUAACACAUACAUAAUAUAUUAGAAACGAAACAAAUAUGUUUUUUUUUUUGGUAGAGAUUACGGUGCCCUGGUA